rnacentral:misc_RNA from 1 species
GCUUUCACUAUUCUCCGCCCAAAUUUGGCACCCAUGGAAGGAUUUGCUGCAUGGUGAUCCGCAUAACUUCCAUGAGAUAGUGGCCGUUUCUUCAAAAGGUAAAGGUAUUACCUUUUAUUCUGGUGAGUAUUUUUGACAGGAGGAUAAUCCAUGUUAGUAUCCACAAUCUUUUUCUGAUAAACCUUGCCCAUGAUUCCUCGCCACUGCUUCAGGCGUCGCCCAUAUGAGCCAGCUGAUCUUGGCCUUUGAACUGGUUGCCAUCCAUCAUCCCC